rnacentral:lncRNA from 1 species
AGAAAUAACGACAAGAAAAGAAAUAACAAAAUCACAAAUUCUUCAUCAUUCAUUCUUCAACUCUUGAAUAUGACACAAUCCUCAUAAAAAAAUUCAUGCACCUUUUUUUUUUCUUCCGAAAUCUCUUGAUCCAUUUUCAUUCUAAAAAAAAUUCAUUCUCUAUAUCAGUGAUCCAUAAUUUAAAAAGCUGUGAAAAAUAGAAACAUCAUUAAGUUCCAUAUUAC